AUUUUCUAAAAUGCACAGUGCAGGGAAAUUCAAAUUGGAAAGCAAAUAAUGCACCUGAAUGCUCUAAAUGCUGAUGCAUUAAUUUAAAGAAAUGGAUCAUGCUCACGCCUGCUAUAUAUUUUAUUAAAAAGUGCCUUUUAUGCUCAAUAAAUAAAACACCUAAAGUACAUGUACAAGUAAACAUCAACAUAUACACUCUAUUUUAAAAAAGUAUUUAAAAUAAUUCUGACAUGCAUGUUACAUAAUUGAGUUAUAUUUACAUGACCUGGCAUUGUAUUAAUGGACAAUUUCAUAACAUUUUGUGUCCCAUUUUGCAAUCUAAUUAAAACUGGAUUUUCAAUCUUUCGUGUAAAAUUAAGCAAGUGUAUAUCUUUUUUGAAUUAGAUUCCAUGUUUUGUAAUAAUGUAGUUUGAAAAACUGUAAAUUUUAAAUCCAAUUUUAAAAAGAAUGACCAUCUAGACAGGUAGUUAGGAUUGACUUGGGGUGCCAUUUUGUAUUACACAUAUCAAUAGUGCCCUAAGUGGCAGACUGUUGUAGCAGAUCAAGACUUGGCCAAGGAAGUUCUCUGUAUCCCAAGGCCGUCUUCCUUAUUUAUUUUUCCAUGUCAUUUCUAAUCCAUAGUGCUGUUUUGUUUAUAGAUGUCAGAAAUAAAGAAGUUUAUUGUAUC
rnacentral:sRNA from 1 species